rnacentral:rRNA from 1 species
UCCGUAGGUGAACCUGCGGAGGGAUCAUUAUUUGAUUGAGUUUACGCUCUACAACCCUUUGUGAACAUACCUAUCGUUGCUUCGGCGGCCCGUUUUGGGGGGCCCGCCGGUGGUUUUAUACUCUUGUUUCUCGUCCGACGUAUCGUCUGAGUGGUAAAGCGAAUGUCAAAACUUUCAACAACGGAUCUCUUGGUUCUGGCAUCGAUGAAGAACGCAGCGAAACGCGAUAUGUAAUGUGAAUUGCAGAAUUCAGUGAAUCAUCGAAUCUUUGAACGCACAUGGCGCCCGUUAGUAUCCUAGCGGGCAUGCCUGUCCGAGCGUCGUUUCAACCCUCGAGCUCUCUUCAGGCUCGGCGUUGGGGAUCUACGCCCUGUAGUCUCCUAAAAUCAGUGGCGGACCCGUCGCGGCCCAUCCUCUGCGUAGUAGCGUUAGCCUCGCAUUGGUGGCCGGCGGUGCCUGUCGGAAACACACAAAGCCCGUCCUCGCGGCGGCACCAAGGUUGACCUCGGAUCAGGUAGGGAUACCCGCUGAACUUAAGCAUAUCAAUAAGCGGAGGAA